CAGUCGCCGCGGUAAUACCAGCAGCCCAAGUGGUGGUCGCGAUUAUUGGGCCUAAAGCGCUCGUAGCCGGGCCGGUAAGUCCCUUGUGAAGUCGGACGGCCUAACCGUUCGGCGUGCAAGGGAUACUGUCGGUCUUGAGGCCGGGAGACGUCCGAGGUACUCCGGGGGUAGCGGUGAAAUGCUGUAAUCCUCGGGGGACUACCAGUGGCGGAGGCGCUCGGCGAUAACGGGCCUGACGGUGAGGGGCGAAAGCUGGGGGCGCGAACGGGAUUAGAUACCCCGGUAGUCCCUGUCUCUUAUU
rnacentral:rRNA from 1 species